rnacentral:rRNA from 1 species
AGCAGCCGCGGUAAUUCCAGCUCCAAUAGCGUAUAUUAAAGUUGUUGCGGUUAAAAAGCUCGUAGUUGAAUUUCGGGAUUGACGUGAUGGUCAUGCCUUAAGGGGUAUGAACUGUUACUGUUGAUUUCUCACCUUCUGGAGAAACUUGAUGUCCUUUAUUGGGUGUCUUGCGGAUCCAGGACCUUUACCUUGAAAAAUUAGAGUGUUUAAAGCAGGCAUUUUUGCUCGAAUACAUUAGCAUGGAAUAAUAGAAUAGGACGGCAUGGUUCUAUUUUGUUGGUUUCUAGGAUCACCGUAAUGAUUAAUAGGGAUAGUUGGGGGCAUUAGUAUUCAAUUGUCAGAGGUGAAAUUCUUGGAUUUAUUGAAGACUAACUACUGCGAAAGCAUUUGCCAAGGAUGUUUUCAUUAAUCAAGAACGAAAGUUAGGGGAUCGAAGACGAUCAGAUACCG